GACGAACGCUGGCGGCGUGCUUAACACAUGCAAGUCGUACGGUAAGGCCCUUUCGGGGGUACACGAGUGGCGAACGGGUGAGUAACACGUGAGUAACCUGCCCACAACUUUGGGAUAACGCUAGGAAACUGGUGCUAAUACUGGAUAUGUGCUCCUGCUGCAUGGUGGGGGUUGGAAAGCUCCGGCGGUUGUGGAUGGACACGCGGCCUAUCAGCUUGUUGGUGGGGUAGUGGCCUACCAAGGCGGCGACGGGUAGCCGGCCUGAGAGGGUGACCGGCCACAUUGGGACUGAGAUACGGCCCAGACUCCUACGGGAGGCAGCAGUGGGGAAUAUUGCACAAUGGGCGCAAGCCUGAUGCAGCAACGCCGCGUGCGGGAUGACGGCCUUCGGGUUGUAAACCGCUUUCAGCAGGGACGAAGCUUUUUGUGACGGUACCUGCAGAAGAAGCACCGGCUAACUACGUG
rnacentral:rRNA from 1 species